rnacentral:tRNA from 1 species
AAGAUAUUAGUAAAAUAAUUACAUGACUUUGUCAAAGUCAAAUCAUAGACUAAAUAUCUAUAUAUCUUA